ACAUAAAAUACUGAAUAUUAGGAAUAUUAGGAAAAUCAAACAUGCAGUCAAAAAUUAAUUACAAAAUUCUUAGCGUUUGAAAACAUGUACAGACUACAAUUAUAGCCUUAUUAUUGGUUUGGAUUAAUUCCUGCAGUGGAGAGUAUACAGGAGAUAAAAACCGGUUCUGAGAUAUUUGUCAACUAUCAGUACACAUUUGAUGAUGCACCUCCAUGGUAUCGAGAGGCAUGUACAGAAAACAUAAUCAGGAGUUACAGAGAUUCAAAACUAGAGUUGGCUUGGGACUCUUUCAGGGGCUAAUGAAGAAGCAAAUGAUUCGUUGUACAUUUCGAUUUCCAUUGAAAUUUAAGGUUAACCAAUAACGUUGAAACCUAUAGAACUGGUAAUUCUUGUGGAUAUCGAUCUAGAUCUUCUGUUAAUCUAAUCUUCAUCCGAUAUCCCAUAUGGUAUUUGUACAGUGUACACAGUCAGGGGACCUUCUAAUGACCUCUUACGACCUCUAAUGACCUCCAAAAAUGAA